CCUACGGGGGGCAGCAGUGGGGAAUAUUGCGCAAUGGGCGAAAGCCUGACGCAGCGACGCCGCGUGAGGGAUGAAGGUCUUCGGAUCGUAAACCUCUGUCAGCAGGGAAGAACGGUCACUGUGCUAAUCAGUAGUGACUUGACGGUACCUGCAAAGGAAGCACCGGCUAACUCCGUGCCAGCAGCCGCGGUAAUACGGAGGGUGCGAGCGUUAAUCGGAAUUACUGGGUGUAAAGAGUUGCGUAGGUGGCAUAAUAAGUAGCUAGUGAAAUCUGGUGGCUCAACCAUUCAGACUAUUAGCUAAACUGGUAAGCUUGAGACCGUUAGGGGUAACUGGAAUUUCAAGUGUAGGAGUGAAAUCCGUAGAUAUUAGAAGGAACACCAAUAGCGUAGGCAGGUUGCUGGGACGGUUCUGACACUAAGGCACGAAAGCGUAGGGAGCAAACGGGAUUAGAUACCCCAGUAGUC
rnacentral:rRNA from 1 species